rnacentral:lncRNA from 1 species
CCACUGUUUUUGAGUCUGCUCCAAGAUAAGCUUUGCCACGUCCAAUUCACGUGCAAGCUGAGCUGCCCAUCGAAUACACCGGACGACAUUCCAUUAUGGAAAUCUGGCAGAGAGGUGAACAUCUACAAGGCUAUAAAUCAAAACGAACAAAUCAACUAUUCAUAGAUACCAAAUUUAAGAAGCUCGCAAAAUGUUCCUGCUAUAAAACUGUAUAGUGCUACCCAUCUUCAUGUUGUUCCCUCCGUUCGUUCAAACUGAAAAUAAGUAGAAGAAAAUGAAAAAGAAGAAAAAAAAGAUUACAAAAUACUCCCUCCGUUCCUAAAUAUAAGUCUUUUGGAGAUUUCACUAUAGACUACGUACAGAGCAAAAUGAGCAAACAUAUACUCUAAAAGGCGUCUAUAUACAUCCGAAUCUAGUCUCUAUAGUGGAAUCUCUAAAAGGAAUUAUAUUUAGGAACAGAGGGAGUACAUGUCUCAUGCAGUCAGGAACUUCAGAUUUUGAAUAAGCUUAUGCUUGUACUCAUCUUCCAGUACUCUAUCAGGAGCCAAAGUAACUAAACAUCCUCCAUCACCUCUUGCAAAUCUCAGAACCUCCAAUCCUUGAUGCACUAAACUGACUUUCACCACAACCAGUUCUUUCCCUCAUCGCCCCGCUCGAAUGAAAAGGAGACUGAAAAGAAAGCGAUAUAAGUACAUCAAGGAAUCAGAUGAGGGCUAUUGACAAUCCAUAAAUCCCAUGAGUCCUACUGGUGGUAUACAUGAAUAACCAAAUGCCAUUUACAAUUCUCCUGAAGGUGGGUAAAUAGAAUGUUUAACCAAAGCAAAUCUUACAACCACAUAUUAGAGGUUCGAUAUCUUUCAGGCCAAUUGCAAAUAAUGAUGAACACUCUGACUACACUAAGAGAAUGGAUGCGACAUGAUGUGAAACAUAUACUGACAUUGCAUCAUGUAAAGGGUUAGUGGUGGUACUGAUUAUUUGUUGUUAUUAGCAAAUCCUUUUAGAGACCAUGGAUGACUAACACGAUGUUGCAAUCAAUUUGUAAUUAAAGAGACCAAAAGUUCUUUUUUUUAACCAGAAAGUCCUUGCGCCGGAGUUCGGACAAACCCCUCAAUAACAUGACCAAAUUUGUUUUGGCUCUGGUUAUCACAUAUCAAGUACGAACCAGCAAACAUACAGACUUGUGAAGCUGAUAAGAAAUCAUCAAAGUUAUGUGAACUUGAAACUAAAAGUCCAACAGAGGAGCGAGGAACUAACCUUGUUAUCAUUUCUCUGAAGUCUGAACCUCGCCUAGUUCUUGGUCCAAUGUGAGUAUGCUUCAGAGAUAAUGAUUUCUUAUGUAACAUGCGCUUUCACAUCUGAAAAAGCACAUAAAUAUAUAUAAUAGGAAUAGUAAUCAGAUGCUCAAAAACUAUAACCUGAACAUAUCAGUGCUUAAACCAAAUUAUCUAUACACAACCAUAGAUACUAAAAGAACCAUCUAACAGAACCAUGGAAGGCUUAGGUUGCAUGUCCUCAACUGAAAUGGGUGAGUUCUGGACAUCCUUCUAAGCUACUCUGUUUAACAUAGCUCAUGAUCAAUACUUCAUGCAUUUACCAAGCCUGCUAAUGCUUUUUUGAAGUUGACGUCCCAAUUUAAAAUUCAAAUAUCAAUUUGCACCAAUAAAAUCUUGAUAUGUAGGUGCAUCCGACAAACUGUAGACACGAAAUAUUCAUUGCAUGAACCAAAAGUACAUGAGCUACCUGUAGAUGCAAGGAAAUAAUGACAAACCGCAACCAGUUCUCCUAUCAGUAUGUAACUGUGUGCCAUUAAUCUCAAUAUAC